rnacentral:rRNA from 1 species
UACGUAGGGGGCAAGCGUUGUCCGGAAUCAUUGGGCGUAAAGAGCGUGUAGGCGGCCCGGUAAGUCCGCUGUGAAAGUCCAGGGCUCAACCCUGGGAUGCCGGUGGAUACUGUCGGGCUCGAGUCCGGAAGAGGAGUGUGGAAUUCCUGGUGUAGCGGUGAAAUGCGUAGAUAUCUGGAGGAACACCGGUGGCGAAGGCAGCACUCUGGGACGGUACUGACGCUGAGACGCGAAAGCGUGGGGAGCAAACAGG